ACUCCUACGGGAGGCAGCAGUGGGGAAUAUUGCACAAUGGGGGAAACCCUGAUGCAGCCAUGCCGCGUGUGUGAAGAAGGCCUUCGGGUUGUAAAGCACUUUCAGUAGGGAGGAAGGUAGUNUAGUUAACAUACCUGCAUUAUUGAUCGUUUACCUACAGAAGAGCAACCGGGCUAACUCCCGGUGCCAGCAGCCGCGGUAAUACGGAGGGUGCGAGCGUUAAUCGGAAUUACUGGGCGUAAAGCGCAUGCAGGCGGCCUGUUAAGUCAGAUGUGAAAGCCCGGGGCUUAACCUCGGAAUUGCAUUUGAAACUGGCAGGCUAGAGUCUUGUAGAGGGGGGUAGAAUUUCAGGUGUAGCGGUGAAAUGCGUAGAGAUCUGAAGGAAUACCAGUGGCGAAGGCGGCCCCCUGGACAAAGACUGACGCUCAGAUGCGAAAGCGUGGGGAGCAAACAGGAUUAGAUACCCUGGUAGGAUAG
rnacentral:rRNA from 1 species